UNUGCUGUGAAAGGCCGGGGCUUAACUCCGGUUUUGCAGUGGGUACGGGCUAACUAGAGUGCAGUAGGGGAGACUGGAAUUCCUGGUGUAGCGGUGGAAUGCACAGAUAUCAGGAGGAACACCGAUGGCGAAGCCAGGUCUCUGGGCUGUAACUGACGCUGAGAAGCGAAAGCAUGGGGAGCGAACAGGAUUGGAUACCCUGGUAGUCCAUGCCGUAAACGUUGGGCACUAGGUGUGGGGGACAUUCCACGUUUUCCGCGCCGUAGCUAACGCAUUAAGUGCCCCGCCUGGGGAGUACGGCCGCAAGGCUAAAACUCAAAGGAAUUGACGGGGGCCCGCACAAGCGGCGGAGCAUGCGGAUUAAUUCGAUGCAACGCGAAGAACCUUACCAAGGCUUGACAUGCAUUAGAUCGCGUCAGAGAUGGCGUUUCCCUUCGGGGCUGGUGUACAGGUGGUGCAUGGUUGUCGUCAGCUCGUGUCGUGAGAUGUUGGGUUAAGUCCCGCAACGAGCGCAACCCUCGUUCUAUGUUGCCAGCGGUUCGGCCGGGGACUCAUAGGAGACUGCCGGGGUCAACUCGGAGGAAGGUGGGGAUGACGUCAAAUCAUCAUGCCCCUUAUGUCUUGGGCUUCACGCAUGCUACAAUGGCCGGUACAGAGGGUUGCGAUACUGUGAGGUGGAGCUAAUCCCUUAAAGCCGGUCUCAGUUCGGAUUGGGGUCUGCAACUCGACCCCAUGAAGUCGGAGUCGCUAGUAAUCGCAGAUCAGCAACGCUGCGGUGAAUACGUUCCCGGGCCUUGUACACACCGCCCGUCAAGUCACGAAAGUUGGUAACACCCGAAGCCGGUGGCCUAACCCUUGUGGGGGGAGCCGUCGAAGGUNGGAU
rnacentral:rRNA from 1 species